rnacentral:lncRNA from 10 species
GCAGACAGUGGAGGCUCAGGCUAAGCCAGCAAGACCAAGAGGAGCACGGAGAGCUGGCAAGACGCUGGCCCGAUGAUAUCGCCUGAGCCGUGAAUCCUCCUGGCCAACGCCAGGGCUUCCUCAGGCUUUGUCAUUGCAGGGACACUUCCCUCCCUCCCUCCUUCUCUGUCUCUCUCCCCACUGCCUCUCUUUCUAGCUUAAGCCAAUUUGAGAUGGAUUUUCUGUCACUUGCUGUUGAAGGAGUCCUGGUCCAGCCCAGGUGGAUUUCGUGCAAAUGAAACCCACAUAAUGCAAGUCUGUGUGGAAGUGAUCGUCUGCGAUCGGCGCGUGCCCUUCGCCUUAUGAACAGGAGCCAUGGGUGACACGAGCGCCUCGGCUGGGCCGCCGGGGUCCGUCUGAGGUCCAUCUGUCUCCAGGUGUGUGCUGGGUCUGUGGGUGAGAUGCUGCGUGUGCAUGUGUGUGUGCCCAGGUGUGUGUGUGGGAGCUGGAUCCCAGGCCACCCGCACAGUGGGAGAAGGGGGAGCUGGAUCCCAGGCCUGAGAAGGCUCUUUCUGCUUAGAGAGUCCAGGGCUGCCUGGCAUCGAGCCGGCUCUGCCCCGCAGGUCCCAGUGAAUCCACAUUGCAGCAGGAAGCCACAGGGCAGGAACCUCAGCUUUCCGGUUGGCUUCCAUGAACCAAGGACAAGCUUGCUUAAAGUUGUGCCCGGAGAGGCCGGGAGAGCUGCUUCAAAGGCAAAGACCACCCAGUGGGAGUGCAUUCCCCUGGUGCUCACCCAAGGGUCCCACUCCCCCUGAGACAUUUCCUUCCCAGGGCACAGACCCCAGGCCUGGACAGAGCCGGGCACGUGUGAAACGGGAAGAUGUCAGCUGGGGAACCGGCCGCAGCUCCCAACCUUGAUGAGGAAAGAAACCUGGUAGCUGUUCCUGCAGAAAAGCCACAUGGCUCGCCGCCUAUCUCCACGAUGGUACCUGGCUUCUCCCAUCCUCACCGUCCACGUCUACUCCCUUCCCAUCCCAGACCCGAGACGCAGAAGGCUUUAGACAGAGCAGCUUCAUCAGGAAUCUGGACUGGGCUGAGGUACCUGCUCCCAGCUCCUCAAAGUGCCAUCCGGUAAAUCUGCAUCUAUUAGAGCUGACAGCCAGGCUGCUCAGGCUUAAACAAUUAAUAUGCAUGAGGAGUCCGCAAACACAGAGCAGGGGCAUGUUACUGUGCUGGGAUGUAGGACGGCUUCUCGGAUAAGGUCAUUCAUUUUUAUGAUUCUGCUUAAUUUGGAUUUGCCAGUCUUCCUUUCAUUAUCCCAUGGGCCAGUCUUAAUAAUCAAGACUAUGUUAUGUGCUUUGUGGCAUAAUUAAAGCCACUGCCUAAUUAGACAAGCAUCUACCGUCUGACAAAGAGAAAUCAGUAAUGCAGCUAAUGGAGAAAGUGGUGAGGAGUUGGGUUUGAAAGUGGAUGGAAUCACCUGUUGGUGCCAGAACACACACACACAUGCACACAUGUCCACACAUGCACACACAUCUGUGGACACACACACACAUGUACAUACAUCUCACACACACAGAUACAUGCACACAUGUACACACGCAGAUACAUGCGCAUGUACAGGCAUGCACACAUACACACACACACACACUCUCCUACAUUCUAUGUGUGUUUCCGAUGACCAGCCCUGUCAAACCAAACCAAUCAGCAGUGCAGUUUCUGCCGGGAUAGUUGGCCUCUGAGGGGUUAAAGCCAUGCAGGGAAUCCAAGUCUGAGUUUCAAGUGGGCCGGGCUGAGCUUGCUUUUGUUUACUUCUUUAAUCAUCCAUGGACGCUUGCUGGGGCCUGCAAUGGCCAGGCACAUCCACCCACGUGGGACAAGAUGCAGCUUCCGUGGCUGCUUGCAGGGGAUGGAAGACUCCCACAGACGCCUGCUAACAUCACAUGCCCAAGUGUCACCGCGAUGCCACGUCCAGUCUGAGCCAUUCCUCGCCCAUGUCCCUGUCCUUGUUGCAUAGCCGGCCUCCAGCGUGUGGCUUCGUGCAGCGACCAGACCGUCGUGUGACUUUCUGCCACGGUUGCUGGGGUUGGCACUGGGGCAGACCUGCUGGGGGGUUCUGGGUUGCAGCUGGAGCGCUGGGACUGGCAGGACGCCUCUCUUCGUGCUGCCCCAGGGCCCAUCCACGUCGACUCCCGGCGUGAAGCGUGUGGGCUGCCUCACAGCCUGGCAGCUCCAGGACUGCUGGGGGCUCCCCCCGCGGCCCCGGCUCUGCUGGCAGCACUGGGCCAGAAGCAACUCACCUUCACACAGCCGCCCUGAAGGCACGUAGGUUCCGGAAGGGAACCUUGGGAAAUGGGAUUCGUGCCAUACUCAUGGGAGUCCCAAGCUCCCUCGCCCAUUUCACUCCAUGAGGAUAGGAGGGGACAGCUGCUGACGACCUGGCAGAGACCCUGCGCCAGGCCCCACCCCACCGGCACCCUGAUCUUGCACUUCCGGCCUCGAGAAUG